UGGGGAAUAUUGCACAAUGGGCGCAAGCCUGAUGCAGCGACGCCGCGUGAGCGAAGAAGGUUUUCGAAUCGUAAAGCUCUGUCCUAUGAGAAGAUAAUGACGGUAUCAUAGGAGGAAGCCCCGGCUAAAUACGUGCCAGCAGCCGCGGUAAUACGUAUGGGGCGAGCGUUGUCCGGAAUUAUUGGGCGUAAAGGGUACGUAGGCGGUCUAUUAAGUCAGGUGUGAAAGCGUGAGGCUUAACCUCAUUAAGCACUUGAAACUGAUAGACUUGAGUGAAGGAGAGGAAAGUGGAAUUCCUAGUGUAGCGGUGAAAUGCGUAGAUAUUAGGAGGAAUACCGGUGGCGAAGGCGACUUUCUGGACUUUUACUGACGCUCAGGUACGAAAGCGUGGGGAGCAAACAGG
rnacentral:rRNA from 1 species